UCUGUUCUUAGAAAACAAUGAGCUGUCUCCUUGCCAACCAGCAGCUCCCUUGGUAGGGGCAUGCAGAAGACCUGAUGACACAAACCCUCCAAAGAGUUUCACCCUCACCACAACAGGUGGCUUCCUGCUCGGCAGCCCAUCCUGCAUCACUUCAGUGGACUUCUCUGACAUCUACUAGACCACAUUAAAUGAAUCACAGCCUUGAAACUGAACUGGAAGGACUUCCUUCAAGGAGCCAGCAUAUGAACUUGCUGCCUAUCUUUAGCAAGGAGAUGCAAAUGACAUCCACAAACCUCUUCUGCUGUAUACCUGGAUGAAAGCAAGGCUAGCUGUGUGUCCUAUGGCACCAAGGACUGAAAGAUUGUAAGAAGUAAGAGGGAAAGUGAUCCAAAAAGGUGGAACACCUAAUGUACAGCCCCAAGGAAGGAGCAUACUUGGAGAAUUCAAGGAACAGAAAGAAAAACAGGAAGGCUGGAGUGAAACUGAUUAAAUAAAGCAUCGUAACAUUAGAGGUCCAUCAUAGAGGCCAAGCCAAAUACAACUAUGUUUUCAAGCAUAAGAUGGAUAGAUGUGGUAAACCACAAGAAGCAAACAGCCCUUUAGAGGUGUGGAUUGACCUUGCAGAGUUACAAGUGGAGCCAGGAGAAAUCAUGUUGAGUGGGACUUCUCAUCCUACCUAAGAGAGACUAACAGAUGGAAAGCUGGGUACAGAAGGGAGAGAAGGCAGUAACAGUCAGAUUUCAAUACGCUGAGACUGUGACGUGGGACUUUUGAGUGAGUAACAUCUGCUCCUAGAACUGAGUUGAGUGGGGAUCCUCCCACACCACCCAGGCAAGAGAACUAACAAUUGAUGACUGCUCCAAAUCAGUCGCCAGUCUACCUAAUACUUCUACCUGAUGUGAUGCCAGAAGUAGAGCAGCCAUCUUGCAACCACAAAGCAACAGCAUGAGUAUGAAAGUUAGUGCAUUAAGGAUGCUGGAAUAGAAUGAUUGAAAGCCAGAUGCCUAAUGACGUUGCUGAAUAGCUGAAACAAUACCAGCAACUAGCUGGUCUUGCUCUGUUGCCUGGCCUGAAGUGCAGUGGCAUGAUCAUGGCUCACUGCAGCCUCAACCUCCCAGGCACAAGUGAUCCUCCCACCUCAACUUCCAGAAUAUAGAAGCUGGAACUACAGUGACCUACAUCCAAAGUGAAAAGUUAUUCAGCCUCUGAAGAGAAGCAUUUUGUUUGGGGAUCUUCAAGUAUGCUUGUCAGCACCGAGAACUGGAAAAAAAUCUCUGAUUGUCCUGCAGCAAUGGCAUUAAAGGCUCCUCAUAACAUACAGAACCAGAAUUGUGCCAUAAUUUACUGAAAUUGAACAUUGCUCUGUGACUGCUAAUUUUCCAUCGAGAUGAUUCUGUCUCUAACCAAGAAAAGAAAAGUUUGUCUUCCUGACUGCUGACACUGCUGACCAAGCCCACCACCAGAUGCCUGGCUGCACACCCAGAGGGCAGCCGCUUCCCGUGGUCCUCUCGAAGAACUUCCCUUUUGCAAUGCAUGUUUAGCAAGUGGAUGAGUUUGUCUUUUCUGAUUUCUCUGCAAGCUCUGCAUUGCCCACCUGAACCAGUGCUUCAGAAGAACUAAUGGGAUCUCUGACCCUCCAACAUCCUCUUCCAGACUUUCACUUUCCUGGCUCCUUGCAGGGACAUGUAAUAAACGUGCUCUCCAGAGAAAGCCUGA
rnacentral:lncRNA from 1 species